CGCCUUUCCAUCGUCGAUCGCACCGCCUAUAUACAUGGGGCCGGAUUCGUCCGGCUAUGGCGAUAAACGCGGUCGUAAUAAGCCAUUCGGACCCGGGGGCAGUACCCGGCGCCUCCACCAAUUUGGUGGGCCUUGCGACUCCCCUGCCGGGGAGCCGGCCGCAAGACCCGCAUAUACGGGGGCGAACUAGGAUCGACGAGGGUGUAAAGGGCUCAGCUUUCGCUCGGCAUGAUACCACCGUUAUCGGGUCAUUCAGAAUAGUUGCCAAUGACAACUAUGCUGAGGCUGCAGUCGCUGCGUAAUGCGGUGCCUAAAGCCUAAACUCUGAAGCCCUUGCCCCUAGCCGGGUAAGGCGCGGUCCGGAGGGCACCGGGCAACAGAAGCCCUCCACU
rnacentral:tmRNA from 1 species